rnacentral:rRNA from 1 species
UACGUAGGUGGCAAGCGUUGUCCGGAAUUAUUGGGCGUAAAGCGCGCGCAGGCGGUGCGGUAAGUCUCUGGUGAAAGCGCUCGGCUUAACUGGGCGAGGGCCGGGGAGACUGCCACGCUGGAGGGGAGCAGAGGCGAGUGGAAUUCCGGGUGUAGUGGUGAAAUGCGUAGAGAUCCGGAGGAACACCAGUGGCGAAGGCGGCUCGCUGGGCUCUACCUGACGCUGAGGCGCGAAAGCGUGGGGAGCGAACCGG